AUUGGCACGGGUCCCGAACCGAGUGCCAGCAGCAGGCGCCGAGGUUCAAGAACUUGUACUGGACAAAAGUUGUUAAAACACGUUAUGUGUGUGUGUUUUUUUUUCGCUGACUUCAACGCCAUGUGAUCAGGAAGACGGGCAGUGUUUCCAUUUCCCCUCUUGGCUGGAAGGAACAGAGUUGUGUUGUGGGAUGUCGGCGAUGAGAAUUACGUAAGAACUGACAUCUGAACAAUGAUUUAGCUCAUUUCACUGAGACGACCAUUGAAAUGGCCCUGCUGACACUCACUCAACAGGUUCCCUCCUGUUUUAAGAAGACCACUAUCAUCCCGGUACCAAAGAAAAGCAAGGUAACGUGCCUCAAUGACUACUGACCAGUGGCUCUGAC